rnacentral:rRNA from 1 species
UGGGGGAUAUUGCACAAUGGGGGAAACCCUGAUGCAGCGACGCCGCGUGGGUGAAGGAACACUUCGGUGCGUAAAGCCCUAUCGGCAGGGAAGAAAAGGGGGAAACCCCAGACGGUACCUGACUAAGAAGCCCCGGCUAACUACGUGCC